AUGGCAGCCCUACGUCUGUGACCCUCGACGACAGUCCCUGUCCAUCUGUACCUGGCCCUCUGUCGGGACUUCCUCUGUGUCUCUGAAGACCCCCGUCUCUCCCUGCCUGCUCCGUGCCCUCCUCCUGCUGGGUCCGUGUCCCGCCCCACGCCCCCAGUCUCUCAGCCACUCCACCCACGAGAUGCUCUCCCUGGAUCCAUCGGGUCCCGAGUGGGAUUGCCCACUGGGUUCCAAGGACCUGGAGGAAGAGGGCCCCUGGGGAGGGGGCUCUGGCCUGCCGCCCACAGGCUGCUUCCCUGGCUCCUGGCGCCAGGACGUGGGCCUGGACUGCAAGGGAUCCCCCGAGGGGGCCGAGGCCCGGGCUUGGACUGUCUACUACUACAGCCUCCUGCAGAGCUGUCUGCAGCAAGCUGGCCUUCCGGAGACCCAGGACCGCAGCCAGGUGCCCCGCACAGGCUGUCCUGGGGCGGAGGUGACCUUGUGCGUUCUGGGCUCCCCCAGCACCUUUCUGCCUGUGCUGCUGGAGGGUGGGGUCCAGAGCCCGGG
rnacentral:sRNA from 1 species